CUUUACCCAGAUAUUGUCCCGUCCUAGAUAUUCGGCAUGAGAGAGAAUGGUUUAUACCGCAACGUAAAGCUAGACCUGGGGUUGUUCGUCGCCUAAUAAGAUGAAAACUCUCUUU
rnacentral:ncRNA from 1 species